GAUGAACGCUGGCGGCGUGCCUAAUACAUGCAAGUCGAGCGAACAGACGAGGAGCUUGCUCCUCUGACGUUAGCGGCGGACGGGUGAGUAACACGUGGAUAACCUACCUAUAAGACUGGGAUAACUUCGGGAAACCGGAGCUAAUACCGGAGAAUAUAUUGAACCGCAUGGUUCAAUAGUGAAAGACGGUUUUGCUGUCACUUAUAGAUGGAUCCGCGCCGGAUUAGCUAGUUGGUAAGGUAACGGCUUACCAAGGCAACGAUGCGUAGCCGACCUGAGAGGGUGAUCGGCCACACUGGAACUGAGACACGGUCCAGACUCCUACGGGAGGCAGCAGUAGGGAAUCUUCCGCAAUGGGCGAAAGCCUGACGGAGCCACGCCGCGUGAGUGAUGAAGGUCUUCGGAUCGUAAAACUCUGUUAUUAGGGAAGAAAAAAUGUGGAAGUAACUAUGCACGUCUUGACGGUACCUAAUCAGAAAGCCACGGCUAACUACGUG
rnacentral:rRNA from 1 species